rnacentral:misc_RNA from 1 species
UUUUGGCUGGUACGGUUCCGUUCUGUUCCGCCUUGGCGCCCUUGGCCGCGGGGGCAAUGUUUUUGUUUUCGUUCUACGUUCAGGUGUUGAGUGGCGACGUAUUAACCGUCGAUAACCAGCUGAAGCAGCUCAAGUGGCUCAAGUUCUCUAGUGGAACGAGGUUGACCGUGCGCAGUGGCAGCCGUUGACAACAAAAACAAUGUAUGCACUCAGCUUCGCCGGAUGAGUGCCGGCGUCGAUCGCGAACCGCCAGAGCCGCCAAAUACCUCUCGUACAUCUCCAAGAACACCAAGAACAGGAGGUAUUCAUAAAGGUCUGAACCACGCGAGGAUCGUCUCGAAGCAUGGUAGCCUCAACAGACGCUUGCCGCCACACGCGAGGAGAAAGCAGGAGGCCCGAAGUUUGAAUGUGAAGAGGAGGUGCGAAGAGCUGGCCCUCACUUUUUCAAGGCAGCCGCAGAACACUACGAGCCCCGAAUCACUGCCGCGGCUGACUCACGCGGAUGCUGUGCUGCACCCUGCACUGCACAUGGUUCGAAGCACACUUCAGGGGACCAGUGCAUGCCCCUGAUGCAUCGUCGCGGUAUGUUUUGUACUGCUUUUCCUAGCGGUGCACUGAGCAGUCCAAUCUUGAAGGGAGCACGCGAGUGCGUAGCCAGUGCUCCAUGCAGCAAGGACCGCAAGCACCCGCGGAAGCUUGGAGCACACGCAGUGACGCCAGCAGCCGUGCACGCUGGCGUCGUCUGCUACUGUACUGUCCUUUCGUUCGGUGCGCAGAAAAAAAAAGGAGUGACCGCUCUGUUAAAAGUCUGAUGGUGAAGGCAUCCUUUACAGAAGCACUGUAUGGCUCUCUGCACGCUAGAAUGGGGACUGUCGUUGAUGCUCGCAGGGGCGUCGCCCACAACUAAGCAGACGACCAAAGUCCUGAGCAGGUCCCAGGGAUCAUGGCAUCGAUGAGCUCGCUUUCGCCUUGUCCAAGGUAGCAGCGGAACACUACGGGCAGGCCCGGAGUCACCGCACCGGCUGGCUCACGGGCGUCGUCCUGUACUCUGCACGGCACUGCGUGUGGCUUAACCGGCCAAGCAGAGGGUCACUGCAUGACCUUUAUGAGGCGUCGCUAGCCAUUGUAAGUAUAUUUUGGACGCUCGUGUCAGGGGAUGUACUUUUGUGUUCUACAACAGAACAUGUUUGGUGGCGGUUCAGUCUUGCCAAUUCAGCUAUUUCGAAACAUAAUUUUGUGGCGACUCGGCUUAGGUUUUCUGGCUCGGCCGUCUUUUGCACCAGUGUCUAGGCUCGGCGUAAGCCUCUUUGUUCUUUAUUGUCAAGGCUAGUGUAAUUUCUGCUACGCCGUCGAAGCAACUUCUGCAUGCGAACAAGAUGCAAGACGAAGCUACAUGCUCGUGCACAGUGCAUGACCACAUGUGAAAACUAAUAGCGAGUUUGUUUCGCUGCACUCGUGCCCAUGCGCACCCACUCGCAACAUGAAGUGAGUUUGUUUCGCCGCCGGCACUCCACACGUGCAUGCGCUCGCUGCACCCUGAGAAUUAAG